rnacentral:tRNA from 1 species
AGCAGUGUAGUCUAGUGGAAAGAGUAUGGGCCUAGAAGUCAUAGGACCUGGGUUCUAAUCCUGGUUCUGCCA